ensembl:lncRNA
AACAACAGUGCUACUAGCCCAGGUUUAUUUACCUCUAGGUUUACAUUCAAAAGUAAAGUCUUAAAAUACCACAAAACAAAUAUGGAAAUGCCCUAUUUGUUUUUUGUUUUUUUUGUUUUUUUGCAAUUUUAAUGGUAUUAUUAUUUUUUUAAACAUGUUUUUUAAUUCGUUUUCGGAAGAUCCAGUUUUAUAUUUGAAGGUUGAACCCCCUUAUGUGCCACAUGAAAAGUUGCUCAUGGAGGACAGGGAAUAUACCUAGCUUCAACUUUUUAGGAGGCCUUUCGACCAGAACAUGGAGGCUGAAGCUCAAGCUCAUCCUUGAGAGCAUCUUGACAUAUGCCAGUGCACUGUUGCUGAUAGUGAGGAAACAAAGCUGUGGAAUUUCUUCACAUAGUUGCUGCCAAUGCUGUGGAUUGUGCUUUCAGUAUUGGUAACGCUGUGAGGGAUGGAGAUGAUCUUCUAGCAUGACAUCUAAAUACAAUGAUAUAAUCAUCACCUCAGUAUAGUAAGUGUUGUGGCCUUGCAGUAUCCAUCUUUGGAGUCUGUAUGGUGACGGAGGGAUCCAGACUGAAGGAUUUGACCUUAUGAGCAGACCUGGAUGACAUCCAUGUUAUUGUACCAAAUGCCAUCUGCCCUAUUUGUUCUUGGCCCAGACUCCAAAAGUCCUCGGCUCUUGGUACAUAUCCAGCCCGACCCAGUAUGCUAUUUGAAUCAAAUUGUGGUAGAGUCACAGAGAAACAGAUCUGUUUCAUAAGAUAUAUGUAUUUGUAUCCAGCUGUUAUUAGGGAAUGAAAUUCAUCAUCAUGGAUGUUGCACUAUGGAUGAGGUGU